UAUACUCGACGGGAUCGAGUUUUUCUCACCCGGGAGGAGUUGAUGGGGACAUCAGAGCCCUUCAUCCAGAUGAUCCUGAGCCCCCGGAUUGAGUCAGACCCGUUUAUUUGCAUAUUUAUUUUAUUAUUUUAUUUCUGGGCUUAUUUGCAUUUUAGGGUUUAUUUGUGGUUUAUUUUAUUUCUGGGCUUAUUUGCAUUUUAGGGCUUAUUUGUGUUAUUUGUGGGUUUAUUAGGAUUUAUUUCUGUGUAAAGGGGGUUUAUGCAAGUUGUGUAUUUGGGCCCUAUAUAUAGGGAACUAUUUUCAUGAUUAGGGUUUAAUGAAGAAUUAAGAAUUUCCUUCCUCCACGUUUUCCUCUCCUUUCUCCUCCUCCCUUCUCCUUCUUCUCUUCUUCUUCCUCCUUCUCUUCCCCUCUUCUCCUGCUUCCAUUUUAAAUUUGGU
rnacentral:lncRNA from 1 species